AGCGUCAGUGGUUUAGUGGUAAAAUCCAUCGUUGCCAUCGAUGGGCCGCCGGUUCGAUUCGCGGCUGACGCAA